rnacentral:lncRNA from 1 species
GACAAAAGCAUUUUAUUGAAGAUUCACCUGCAGAUGGAUAAGAGGGAAUGAGAGGAGUAGAAUGGGACACUAAGUGGCAGAGUCCCUGUCCCAGCACAGAAGAUCAUCCUGGGGCAGAGAGAGCCCAUGGGAUAGUGGAGGGGAUACUAGUAAGAUGAGCCCCAGAGACAGAGGAUGGAGGUGAAGUGAAGGAAGCACAGAGACACCAGUGCUGGGCCCAGCUGGACACAGUGAGCUGCAGGGACCUC